UACGUAGGGUGCGAGCGUUAAUCGGAAUUACUGGGCGUAAAGCGUGCGCAGGCGGUUUUGUAAGCCAGGUGUGAAAUCCCCGGGCUCAACCUGGGAAUGGCAUUUGGGACUGCAAGGCUGGAGUGUGGCAGAGGAGACUGGAAUUCCUGGUGUAGCAGUGAAAUGCGUAGAUAUCAGGAGGAAUACCGAUGGCGAAGGCAAUCCCCUGGGCCUGCACUGACGCUCAUGCACGAAAGCGUGGGGAGCAAACAGG
rnacentral:rRNA from 1 species